GACAUUAGUCACUCAUCUUCCGAUUAACCAGCUAAUCUAAUUAAGCUUCCUUUCUCGAUCUCUAACUUGUGAUUAAUUGGCUCAGAUCGCAGCGAACAGAGUGAGCCCUUCCUCAGUAUUAGCACUAUUGCGUUCUUUUCCUCCAACCGUUUGCAUCUGAAUAGACCUGACUGGACUCUGCAGGAGACCCCUGGCUGAUUUGCAAGGAAGAACGGGGCAGGGUCAAGAGAGCUCAUGACCUGAUGAUCUGAGGACCCAACCUGAGGAAAUAAGAGGACACUCAAAGGAACAGAUGAGUAAGAGCGCUCAGAACUUACCCAACUUCAAUGGCAAUUCCACUGAGGAGUAACCACAGUGUUGUUUUUUCAUAGAAACACCAAAUUUGGAAAUAAAACCCUGCUGGGUUUAUGUGGCACCUCAAUAUUCCACUGAUUUUUUUUCCAGAGGCCAGUGAGAAGGAGGAACCUUGUUCUUCCAGGCCUGGACAGCCAGCGCGUGACCGCAUUCAGCCCCUCCCACUCUUUGUGUCCCCCUGAUGGAGCUCUGAAUGCUCUGGGCUGGAGACCAUGGGACAGCACCUUUGAGAACCAUGUCACUGCUCUGACACACCUGCUGAGAUUCAGAAGGGUGGGGAGCAGGGGAGAGGCCCACUCUGCCUGUCCCCCAGGUGAUGGGUGAAUGUGCAAUUCCUCCAACACUGGGUGGGAAUGACUAACAGAGGAGUCCAGGCAGCUGCAGGGGGAAUCAGUUUAGCAGCUUUCUGUUGUCGACUCCACGACUUCCACAGUGAUGUCACACUCGGGUACAUCAGUGCUGUCCUACUCCAGCAGCCACGCGGCAGGGAGCCAUGGCCAGCAUGGUGCUGAGGCCAGCGGGAGACGGAGGAGGGAACGGCAUCUCUCCUGGGACUUCCCCUCUCUGGCUUUGCUGAACCCUGAGUGGACUCUCCUGGACCCCGAGUGGACUCUCUUGGACCCUGAGUGGACUCUUCCUGGCUCAUGCCUCAGAGCUCAUGGAUGCAGUCCCCAUGGGGAUCACAUGCCACCUGACAGUGACAAACGCCAGCUGGAUUCUACCACCAUCACCAUUUGGAGAAGAAAUCCAGGGACUGCUCAACCUCUGUAGACCAAGGAGCUAAUUGGGAGAGAAGACUGCAUCAGUCAUUGGUGCAAGGUCAUUGGAGAAGUUUUGUUGAUGGCGCCUUCUGGCCAGUGAACUUUAGCACAUGUUACCCACCUGUCCCCACCUGUUCCUUGAAGCUUCUUAGUGAGACCUGUCAAUGCACUAAGUGACAGUUGAGCCUGUGAGAAGAAAUUCCAGCUUAGAAAUACCAGUGUUUACAAGGAAGGAGAAUGAAUAUAUGUUCAAAAGUACGUCUCUAGCAUUUUGUAGAAUUGUUGCUCUUUUGAAUUUCAUUGGAAUUAAUUCAUGCAGAUGUGUACCUGGGGUUGUGCUUUUCCUGGUUAAAGAAUUCUUUCCCCCCCAUCAAUGGCUGGAGAAGUUGCUCACUGCUUACGACCAAGGGCAAUCCUUCAUUAACCUCUCCUGCACAGAUCAAGAGAGUUAAACUUAGAAUAAAGAACACAGUUUUUGAUCUGACAGGGCUGAGACAUCACAAAGACAGGCACUGAAGCUCAUCAACCCAAGCCCAACUAAAAACAACCUGGAACCCUGCAUGCCCUGCUUGCAUGCUGUUUUUGAGAUUGAAAUGGAAAUUAUUGAGAGUUUAUGCAAUCAACCCAUCCUUGAAUUCCUGAUUAAGACAAAACUGUGAAAUAUCCAGCAGAAGAGAUCUGGGGAGAGGUAAAGAGCUCAGAAUUAGUAGUCAG
rnacentral:lncRNA from 1 species